rnacentral:rRNA from 1 species
CCAUCCCGAACUCGGAAGUGAAACGCCCCUGCGCCAAUGGUACUUCGUCUCAAGACGCGGGAGAGUAGGGCGCUGCCGGGC